rnacentral:rRNA from 1 species
GCUAGCGUUACUCGGAAUUACUGGGCGUAAAGCGCACGUAGGCGGAUUGUUAAGUCUGGCGUGAAAUCCUGGAGCUCAACUCCAGAACUGCCUUCGAUACUGGCGAUCUCGAGUGCGGGAGAGGUGAGUGGAACUGCGAGUGUAGAGGUGAAAUUCGUAGAUAUUCGCAAGAACACCAGUGGCGAAGGCGGCUCACUGGCCCGAUACUGACGCUGAGGUGCGAAAGCGUGGGGAGCAAACAGG